rnacentral:tRNA from 1 species
CCUAAGCCCUUUCGACCGGGGUUCAAAUCCCCUUGCUAACU